UACAGAGGGUGCAAGCGUUGUUCGGAAUUAUUGGGCGUAAAGCGCGUGUAGGCGGUGAUGCAUGUCGGGUGUGAAAGCCCUCAGCUUAACUGAGGAAGUGCGCCCGAAACUGCAUCGCUGGAGUGUCGGAGAGGAAGGCGGAAUUCCCGGUGUAGAGGUGAAAUUCGUAGAUAUCGGGAGGAACACCAGUGGCGAAGGCGGCCUUCUGGACGAACACUGACGCUGAGACGCGAAAGCGUGGGUAGCAAACAGG
rnacentral:rRNA from 1 species